rnacentral:rRNA from 1 species
CCUACGGGCGGCUGCAGUAAGGAAUUUUCGUCAAUGGGCGCAAGCCUGAACGAGCAACGCCGCGUGGAGGAUGACGGCCUUCGGGUUGUAAACUCCUUUUUCGGGGGACGAUGAUGACGGUACCCCGGGAAUAAGGCUCGGCUAACUCUGUGCCAGCAGCCGCGGUAAUACAGAGGAGCCAAGCGUUGUCCGGAUUGACUGGGCGUAAAGCGCACGCAGGCGGUUGCGCGCGUGGGGUGUGAAAUCUGGCCGCUUAACGGCCAGGCGCCAUCCCAUACGGCGCGACUGGAGUGAUGCAGAGGUCGAUGGAAUUGCCGGUGUAGUGGUGAAAUGCGUAGAGAUCGGCAGGAACACCCAGGGGGAAACCAGUCGACUGGGCAUCUACUGACGCUGAGGUGCGAGAGCGUGGGGAGCGAACCGGCUUAGAUACCCUUGUAGUC